rnacentral:lncRNA from 10 species
GAAAAGUGAGUCCUAUGAACUGAAUAUCUGUGUCCCCCACCAAAACUCAUGUUGAACCCCUACCCCUCAAUGUGAUAAUAUUUGGAGGUGAGGCCUUUGGAAGGUAAUUAGGUUUAGAUGAGGUCUUGAAGGUGAGGCCCACAUGAUGAGAUUAUUUUCCUUAUAAGAAGAGAGAGGGACAAGAGCUCACUCUAUCUCUGCCAUGUGAGGACACAGAAAGAAAGCAACUAUCUGCAUGCUAGGAAGUGGUCCUCACCAGAAGCCAACUACUUGGGCACCCUGAUCUCGGACAUCCAGCCUCCAGAACUCUAGCUCUGCAUGACAGCAUUGAAUACAAAUAUCACUGAUGAUGAUGAAUGGAUUGAGGAAUGCGGAAUGCAUUGUACUAAAAGGGUCCAGAAAUUGCCACAAGUCUCUUUUUGAGUCUCAGAGAAGCAAGGCCAUCAUGUAUAAGCCAGGGUUGCUGAGCAUUGGAGGUGACCCAGUAUUAGAGUAUAUGAUUCUUCAUUUGCUACAAGAGAACACCUCAUCUGGGUCACCAACAGCUUUCUGACGAAUGCUGAGGAAAUUGUGUGCAACUAAUUCCUACAACGAGAAUCCCGUACCCACUGUGAUGGGUGAUCUGUUUGCUCAAGACAGAGGAGCCCAUUAAGCAAGCAUCACGUAUGACCUGUUACCGGGGUUUAGACACCAUCUGCAGCCUGGCUUGCUGCCCAUUGCACGUUGUGGCCGUGAAUCAACAUUGUGACAGAGAGGGCACUGGGAAUUAUUUUUGUCUGCAAUCAAUCCUUCAGAAGAAUCUCUCACAUCUUCACUUUUGUGCAGUAUGUUAACUAUGAACAAAAUGAUAGUGUAUGUCAGUCAAAUGUAAUACUUAUAUUAAAACCUGAUUAUUAAUGCAGAAGCUCAUGGAAAGUAAGGUUAAUCUGAAUAAUAUAUUAUUUCUCUUAGUCCACAAUCUAUCAUUUCACAAACCAUGGUUAAUAGAAUGACAAAAAUAAAAAGCUUUGUUUAAAUGAAAAUGUAUAAUAUAUUCUUCAUCUCAUUUAUAUCUUAUUGUGUUAGGUAGGCGAACAUAGCUAGUCUGUGAAUGUGAUAAAAAGAAGAUGAUACAUUUCUUUGUUUUAAAAAUCUUAAGUAUUCCUGCUAAAUAGUGAGUUUCCAAAGGCUUGCUAUUAUUUAAAAUAUUGC